CCCGGACGGGUGCCGUCGAAGUCGACCUGGAAAGGCGCGUCGGAGAGGGUGAGAGCCCCGUGCGCGACGCCGCCCGGCCGGGCUGCCGCUGUCUUCGGAGAGUCGGGUUGUUUGGGAAUGCAGCCCAAAGUGGGUGGUAAACUCCAUCUAAAGCUAAAUACCGGCACGAGACCGAUAGCGAACAAGUACCGUGAGGGAAAGGUGAAAAGUACUUUGAAAAGAGAGUCAAAAAGACCGCGAAACCGUUAGGAGGGAAACGAAUGCAGCUGAAGCGGCUCCCCGUCAGGCUCAGGAGGAGGCGGUGGGUUCCCGGGGUGCGGGCGGAGGCCUGAAGAGGCUCCGGUUCGCCUUCGGGCGCGGGCCCGCCGUCCACUCUGCACUUCUGCGGGGAGCCGGCCAACGGCAGUUGCCCCCGGCUCUUACGAGGCGCUUCGGGGGAGGUGGCCCUGCGCUCCGGCGCGGGGAGCGUACAGCCCCGGCGCCCGGCAGUCCGGGCGAGUUUCGAUCUCGGAAAAGAUGGCGACUGAGGAGAGACGUUGCGGUCCCUCGCACGUCGCGGCGCGGGCCUUUCUCGUUUCCCCCACGGGGGUUUUCGGAAGGGCUGGGCCCCUCCCGUCGGGUCGGCGGCCGAGGCGGUCACUGCGAGUCAGUGGCCGUCGACGGUUAUCGCGUCGAUCCCGGAGGGAGGUCGGUCACACCUCGCGCCGCGGUCGUUGGCGUCCGAAUGGCUGCAUCCGA
rnacentral:rRNA from 1 species